UACGUAGGGGGCAAGCGUUGUCCGGAUUUAUUGGGCGUAAAGAGCGUGUAGGCGGCCAUACAGGUCAGCUGUGAAAACUCGAGGCUCAACCUCGAGACGUCGGUUGAAACCGUAUGGCUAGAGUCCGGAAGAGGAGAGUGGAAUUCCCGGUGUAGCGGUGAAAUGCGCAGAUAUCGGGAGGAACACCAGUGGCGAAGGCGGCUUUCUGGCCUGUUCUUGACGCUGAGGCGCGAAAGCUAGGGUAGCAAACGGG
rnacentral:rRNA from 1 species